rnacentral:rRNA from 1 species
UACGGAGGGUGCAAACGUUGCUCGGAAUCAUUGGGCGUAAAGCGCACGUAGGCGGCCUGAUAAGUCGGGUGUGAAAGCCCUGGGCUCAACCCAGGAAGUGCACUCGAAACUGUCAGGCUUGAAUAUGGAAGAGGGUCGCGGAAUUCCCGGUGUAGAGGUGAAAUUCGUAGAUAUCGGGAGGAACACCGGUGGCGAAGGCGGCUAUCUGGACAGAAACUGACGCUGAGGCGCGAAAGCUAGGGGAGCAAACAGG